rnacentral:lncRNA from 1 species
GUUCUGUUCUCUGGUCUCCCAAGGCCCUUGAUUUAUGGGGUCCCCACAGACGGAAGCUUUCCCCCCAUCAGCAGGUCUCCACUGAAUCAGCGGCAGGAGUCCUGGAUGAUCCCCGGUCGCGCGGCCCCCUCCCCCGCUCCUUCCCUACCAGCGCCGCAGCGAUAGCAGAAUCUAGGGGAGGGAGCGACAUUCUCUCCUACCGUUCCAGCGCCUCUGAGACUAGCAUAUUUGUUUAUUUCUGCUUGGGAAAAAGAAUAACGAAAGUUUUGGAGUCAGACAACUCUGGGAUAAAUUCCAGACUGUGCCUCACAUACUGGUAGUGUAAUUUGUGGUGCGUUAACAGGACUGAGCCUCAGUUUACUCAUUUAUAAAGCCAAAGCAAUAAUGCCUACCUAUGGUGGUUGUGAAAGUUGGGAAAAGUAUGUAUGAAACCAAUACUGUGCCAGUUAAACGGAGGUUGGCAUUGGGACUAAAACUGAAGUAGUAAAGUUGGAUCUGAAUAAUGUUUGGAGGUGAACUGACUAUAAAGCUCAAGAGAGGAAGAUAAUGUGAAGAUUUAUGAAUAAGAAAUUUAUAAGAAUAACGUUAUACUGAAGGAUGAGGCAAAGUUCUGAAAUAGAAUCAAAUCAUUUGGUGCAGAAACUUUCAAGCCAUGGAGAGAGAAGCAUUUGAAGUCAUUUAUAUUUAGACAAAGCCUGUCUGGUCGCUUACAGUUAGUCACAAAGAAAAUGAAUCUGGAGAAGACUUCAAAAGCCUAGACUUAAAAAACACACACACACGUGUGGUAACAUUGCAUCUAAGGCUGUAUGUUUCAGGGAGGAGGAGAUAAGCCUUAAUAUGAAGAAGAAGAGAAAUCACAGAUGUUGACCAACAUUGAUUAAGUCUACAGUGUGCUUGCUGGUUCUCAUAUCCUACGUACUUUAGUUUUCCAACAACUCUAUUAUAUAAUCCACUUAGAUGAAGAAUCUGAAGCUAAUAGAAGUUAGUAAAUAACUCAAGUUCUGUUCCAUGAAAUGUGAGCAGAGAAAUUUAAAUUGAUAGAAUAAAAUAGCAAUAAUAAUAAAAUGAGGGAUUGAUUGCAUGUAAGCUUAGCAAUUCUUUGUUAGAUUUCUUGAUGUUCAAGUGAAAUGAGUAAAGAUCUAUUGUAAAUAGUUCAGGAGAAAUCAACUCGUUUAUUUCCACUUCAACCACCUUCAUUUCAGACUGUAAAUUAAAAUAGAAAUUCUAAGAAAGAUUUACAAAUAUGUUGAGAACUGAGAGGUUUAAGUGUCACAAAUGUAAAUCCAUA